rnacentral:tRNA from 1 species
GGACUUGUAGCAUAGUGGCUUAAUGCACCCGACUGUCGCUCCCCCUGAUGAAUAUCAGGAAAAGACAAACAAGCAACGUGGGUUCGAAUCCCAUCAAGUCCG